GGGGGGGGUCCUUAAAAAAAGCUGGACUGGACAGCCAACACAGACGUUCUUUAUAAGAAGAGUCAGUCUAGGCUGUACUUUCUCCGAAAGCUGGGCUCAUUUAACAUCUGCUCUAAACUUCUGUACAUGUUUUAUCAGUCAGUGGUGGCGAGUGCUCUCCUCUAUGCUGUGGUCUGUUGGUGCAGCACCAGUAAGAAGAACAUCUCCCGCCUGAAUAAGAUCAUUAAAAAGGCUGGGUCAGUGGUGGGACUGAAGCUGGCUCCAGUGGAAGAUGUGGUUGAG